GCAGUCGAGGGGCAGCACGGGGUAGCAAUACCCCGGUGGCGACCGGCGCACGGGUGAGUAACACGUGUGCAACCAACCCCGUACCGGGAGAUAACCCGCGGAAACGUGGACUAACACCCCAUAAUACCUUUCCCCCGCAUGGGGGGGAGUUUAAAACCCCGGUGGUACGGGACGGGCACGCGCGACAUUAGGUAGUUGGCGGGGUAACGGCCCACCAAGCCGACGAUGUCUAGGGGUUCUGAGAGGAAGGUCCCCCACACUGGAACUGAGACACGGUCCAGACUCCUACGGGAGGCAGCAGUGAGGAAUAUUGGUCAAUGGGCGAGAGCCUGAACCAGCCAAGUCGCGUGAGGGAAGAAUGGUCUAUGGCCUGUAAACCUCUUUUGUCAAGGAAGAAUAAGCGGCACGAGUGCCACCUUGCCAGUACUUGACGAAUAAGCAUCGGCUAACUCCGUGCCAGCAGCCGCGGUAAUACGGGGGAUGCGAGCGUUAUCCGGAUUUAUUGGGUUUAAAGGGCGCGUAGGCGGGACGGCAAGUCAGCGGUAAAAGACUGCAGCUAAACUGUAGCACGCCGUUGAAACUGUCGACCUGGAGACGAGACGAGGGAGGCGGAACAAGUGAAGUAGCGGUGAAAUGCAUAGAUAUCACUUGGAACCCCGAUAGCGAAGGCAGCUUCCCAGGCUCGAUCUGACGCUGAUGCGCGAGAGCGUGGGUAGCGAACAGGAUUAGAUACCCUGGUAGUCCACGCCGUAAACGAUGCUCACUGGAUCUUGGCGAUACACGGCCAGGGUUCAAGCGAAAGUAUUAAGUGAGCCACUUGGGGAGUACGUCGGC
rnacentral:rRNA from 1 species